rnacentral:tRNA from 1 species
CGGGACGUAGCGCAGUCCGGUAGCGUACCAGGCUGGGGGUCUGGUGGUCGCAAGUUCGAAUCUUGUCGUCCCGACAA